UUAAAGCGGUACGCGAGCUGGGUUCAGAACGUCGUGAGACAGUUCGGUCCCUAUCCGUCGUGGGCGUAGGAAAUUUGAGAGGAGCUGUCCUUAGUACGAGAGGACCGGGAUGGACAUACCUCUGGUGUACCAGUUGUCGUGCCAACGGCAUAGCUGGGUAGCUAUGUGUGGACGGGAUAAGUGCUGAAAGCAUCUAAGCAUGAAGCCCCCCUCAAGAUGAGAUUUCCCAACUUCGGUUAUAAGAUCCCUCAAAGAUGAUGAGGUUAAUAGGUUCGAGGUGGAAGCAUGGUGACAUGUGGAGCUGACGAAUACUAAUCGAUCGAAGACUUAAUCAA
rnacentral:rRNA from 1 species